ACUGCAUUUACUCUAUGCCUGCUGCUGGGUGAUGGGCUCAUGGGAAGCACUGAUGCACCACUUACAGUGUAGGUGAAUGCAGCCUUGAGUGAUGGCCUCAGCCCAAGUAAGAAAUGGCACAGGCUGAGGAAGAAGCUGAAGUUCCCAACCUCCUGUGCUUCUAGUCUCCACUGGAAACCACAUGAAUUUGGGAAAGGAGGAGACCCACAGGUUAAAGACAAGGAGCCUGGAGCCAGGUGGACUGGACUGCUUGCAACAAAGUUUGGAAUCCCCCACACAGUACUACUUCCAAAGAGAGUCUUUCAUGAGACAGACACUCUUCAAGAAUUCUGGCCUGUAGAGGCCAGCAAAGGACUUUUGGAUCCGCUGGAACUGAAGUUACAAAUGAGUAUGAGCCAUCAUGUAGCCAUACAGGAGCCUAGCGUGACUGCCCUCUGAGAGGUU